rnacentral:rRNA from 1 species
GAGUWUGAUCCUGGCUCAGAACGAACGCUGGCGGCGUGMUUAACACAUGCAAGUSGAACGUGAUUGGAAGCUUGCUUCCAUGAAAGUGGCGCACGGGUGAGUAACGCGUGGAUAACCUGCCCUGGUAUCCGGAAUAACAUCUCGAAAGGGGUGCUAAUACCGGAUAAGCCUACGGAGCCUUCGGUCUCUGCAGGAAAAGGUGGCCUCUAUUUAUAAGCUACCGUAUCAGGAUGGGUCCGCGUACCAUUAGCUAGUUGGUGGGGUAAUGGCCUACCAAGGCGACGAUGGUUAGCUGGUCUGAGAGGAUGAUCAGCCACACUGGAACUGAGACACGGUCCAGACUCCUACGGGAGGCAGCAGUGGGGAAUUUUGCGCAAUGGGGGAAACCCUGAYSCAGCMAYUCCGCGUGAGUGAAGAAGGCCUUCGGGUUGUAAAGCUCUUUCAGUGGGAACGAAACGGUUCAAGUGAAUAACUUGGGCUAAUGACGGUACCCAAAGAAGAAGCACCGGCUAACUACGUGCCAGCAGCCGCGGUAAUA